ensembl:lncRNA
CUGGUGUUGUACAGGGUUUGCAGCACACAAGCAAGAAGCACAGAAGACACAUUUUGCCCAUGUAAAGGGCAGGCCCAAAAUCUCCAGCAGCUGUGAAGGGCUCCCUGCUGCCAUUUACCCAUUCAGUACAGCUGCUCUGAUUAAAAUGCUUUUAAACAUCAGAAAGUGCUGGGCUUCCAGCCCUUUUCUGUCUUGAAUCAUGAGGACCUUACAGCAGAUUCCAGCAGCAGGGAGAUGUGCAGCUCUCCAGGCUGUGCUCCAAUGAGCUGUCGCUGCCCUGGGACGAUGCUGUGCAGCACCAGGCUCCUGGCCCCAUCCCACCCAGUGCUCUGAUGCUUCUCCCACCAACAGGACUGGUCCCUGUCCCAGGAGAUGGUGCAGCAAAUUCAGUUUUCUAAGUGGAUUCAGCAGGAGUCGCCACUCCUGAUGAUGAGAUGUGACCUGUUUUAAUCACUGCUGUCCACUGUCAGGUGAAAGUUCUGAAACGCAGCCGUGAGAUGAAUAGCAAUGACACGUUUUGGGCAGAGCACUGCAAAAUCAGGCUGCGAAAGACGGCGCUGGCAGAGGUGAUCCUGAGAGUGUCACCAGCCUCUGUCCUCGUGGUUUUCUCCAUUGGUACUUGCUGUAAUUCAUAUGGAAAAAAAAAAAACAUGGAAUCACGGAAUGGCUCAGGUUAGAUGGGACCCUAAAGUCCACCCGGUUCCAACCCCUGCUGUGGGCAGGGACAUCAUCCUCCAGCUCAGGCUGCCCAGGGCCCCAUCCAGCUUGGCCUGGAGCACCUCCAGGGAUGGGGCACCCACAGCCUCCCUGGGCAACAAGAAACGUGAAUGGAAGUUGUGUGCGGGUGUGAGAAAGGCAGCUGGGCUCAGGCCCCAGCCCUGCUGUAUGUCAGCACCCAUUCCAUGACACUGUUGUGCUCUGACCUCUGCCUUGGUUUUGCUGGGACAUGGCUUCUCCACUCUUUGCACCUGGGAACAAACACCUUUGCAAAGGCAAUUUUAGGGAGAAUUAAAGGCUCAUCCGCCUUCCAUCUUAAUUCCUUGUCGUUUAGUUCUCUCAAUAUGAUUUCUACAGUACUGCUUUUGUGCUCAGUGCCUGCCAGCCACUCGAUUUGCCUUGACCUUUCAUGUCUGCACUCUGGCAGUAUUUGUUGUCUUUCUCGAUACUUGAGCUAUUAACAUGUGAAUUACAUCAACUGCUUUUAAUCUUACCUCUUUGUGGUAUUAUGGCAGCUCUGCAUAACACAACACAGUAGUGCAAUGAAUGGUUCAGCUCACUCACUGCGAUGGAAAUGUUUUGUAACUGUUGAUUUUCAUUUUUCUGACCUUUUUAUAAAGGAAUAUAAAACGAUUAUAUUGAGCUGGCCCCUGCAUCUCCUGCAUGUGGGUGAACCUGAAGGCUGGCUGGAAGACAGCAGGGUAGGAGCUCUGUUUUGGGGCUCUGUUAGUAUUUGAUUUUAGAAUAAACUACAGUUUGGUUCCUUGACAACUAAGCAAUGAUUGGAUAUUAGGAAAAACUUCUUCUCUGAAAGAGUGGUGAGGGACCAGCACAGUUUGCUCAGGCAGGUGGUGGAGUCACCAUCCCUGGAGGUGUUCAAGAAGAGGGUGGAUGUGGCACUGAGGGACGUGGUUUAGUGGACAACAUUGAUGGUGGGUGGAGGGUUGGACAGGAUAAUCUUAGUGAUCUUUUCCAACCUCAACGGUUCUGUGAUUCGAUGAUUCUAUGAAGGUGUGGAUGUCUUGAGAAGCCACUGUGUGUGUGGUUAAUUGUGGUGAUACAGAUUCCUGGUGGUGCAGACUGUGUUUCUGAAGAUGUCAGUAAGCAAACAAACCUGGUUCACACACCAUCAUCCUGUGCUCAAGGAUCACUGUAGAAGUGUCACUAGAAAAAAUCACACCAAAAAUAGAAAGAUCUUCUGCAUCAUCACAUCCUUCCCAGGGAACCAUCCAGCAG